GACGAACCGUGCGAACGUUAUUCGGAAUCACUGGGCUUAAAGCGCGUGUAGGCGGCCCGGCACGUCCGUCGCUGAAAUCCCCGGCUCAACCGGGGAAGUGGCGUGGAUACGGCCGGGCUGGAGGGGGUAGGGGAGCCGGAACUUCCGGUGGAGCGGUGAAAUGCGUUGAGAUCGGAAGGAACGCCCGUGGCGAAAGCGGGCUCCUGGACCCACCUGACGCUGAGACGCGAAAGCCAGGGGAGCGAACGGG
rnacentral:rRNA from 1 species